rnacentral:misc_RNA from 1 species
UUGAUCCACAAAAUUAAAAAAAAAAAAAAUUAUUUUGAGAUAUAUAAAAGUAAACCAAACCCAUCAUUGUUACUUUGCUAUUCUAUGCUCCUUUUGUCUCCCUAUUUUCCACUUCCAGUCCUUGGGGUGGAUUUGUGUAGUCAAAUAAAAACAAAAGGGAGAAAUAGAGAACAUAUGCUUUGAUUUAGAAGAUCAAAAUAAUUUUUUUUUUUUUAAUUUU